rnacentral:misc_RNA from 1 species
AACGCACAUUGCGCCCGCCAGUAUUCUGGCGGGCAUGCCUGUUCGAGCGUCAUUUCUCCCUCAAACCUCUGGUUUGGCGUUGAGUGAUACUCGGUUUACUUGAAAAACAUGAAAAGCAUAACUAUUAGGUUUUACCAACUCGUUAUACUAAUCUACAAGUUUGACCUCAAAUCAGGUAGGACUACCCGCUGAACUUAA